rnacentral:rRNA from 1 species
UACGGGAGGCAGCAGUGGGGAAUAUUGCACAAUGGGCGAAAGCCUGAUGCAGCUAUGCCGCGUGUAUGAAGAAGGCCUUAGGGUUGUAAAGUACUUUCAUCGGGGAGGAAAAAACAAAACUAAUAAUUUUAUUUCUUGACGUUACCCGAAAAAGAAGCACCGGCUAACUCCGUGCCAGCAGCCGCGGUAAUACGGAGGGUGCUAGCGUUAAUCAGAAUUACUGGGCGUAAAGAGCACGUAGGUGGUUUUUUUAAAGUCAGAUGUGAAAUCCCUGGGCUUAACCUGGAACUGCAUUUUGAAACUGAAAUACUAGAGUAUCGUAGAGGGAGGUAGAAUUCUAGGUGUAGCGGUGAAAUGCGUAGAUAUCUGGAGGAAUACCUGUGGCGAAAGCGGCCUCCUAAACGAAUACUGACACUGAGGUGCGAAAGCGUGGGGAGCAAACGAGGAUUAGAUACC